rnacentral:rRNA from 1 species
CGAUUGAACGCUGGCGGCAUGCCUUACACAUGCAAGUCGAACGGCAGCACGGGGGCAACCCUGGUGGCGAGUGGCGAACGGGUGAGUAAUAUAUCGGAACAUGCCCUGAAGUGGGGGAUAACGUAGCGAAAGUUACGCUAAUACCGCAUAUUCUGUGAGCAGGAAAGAGGGGGAUCGCAAGACCUCUCGCUUUAGGAGUGGCCGAUAUCGGAUUAGCUAGUUGGUGAGGUAAAGGCUCACCAAGGCGACGAUCCGUAGCGGGUCUGAGAGGAUGAUCCGCCACACUGGGACUGAGACACGGCCCAGACUCCUACGGGAGGCAGCAGUGGGGAAUUUUGGACAAUGGGCGCAAGCCUGAUCCAGCCAUGCCGCGUGAGUGAAGAAGGCCUUCGGGUUGUAAAGCUCUUUCGGCGGGGAAGAAAUUGCUCAGGAUAAUACCUUGAGUAGAUGACGGUACCCGCAUAAGAAGCACCGGCUAACUACGUG